rnacentral:rRNA from 1 species
AACUUUCAACAAAGGAUCUCUUGGCUCUUGCAUCGAUGAAGAACGUAGCGAAGCGCGAAAUGUAGUGUGAAUCGCAGAACAUUGUGAAUCAUCGAAUCUUUGAACGCACAUUGCGCCUCUCUUAACAGGGAGGCAUGCCUGUCUGAGUCUCAUUU